UUAACCCAUCUCAUUUCUUUCACAGAGGAACCUUGUUUCUCUACCUCAACCUCUAGUAUAUGAGGCAAGUCAAUUUUUUGGUUGCCCACGGAUCAGAACUCCAUUUAAGAGUCUGUUGCUGGCGAUUGAAUUGCUACAUGCACAAGAUGAAGAAGUUCUUCACCAAAUUAAAUUCGUGCUACUGUCCACAUUCAACUACUAACAAGAAGAAGCUAUCGAAGUCUCUGCCGUCCAGUGGUCGCAUCACAAAGGAUCGUCGUGACAGCAGCGUCGAUCACAACGAGGUUGUUGUUACCAAACCACAAAAGAAACCCAUUGUGGUCUUACCCUCCGACGAUUACAAGAACAACAGGGAGUGGUGGAAAUCAAUGCCGAUCGUGGCUUUAGGGUUCGCUUUUUCCAUGUCUUGAGCUCCAGAUUCGUAUAAUGUUUAAGUGUUGUGAUGUGUUCGGAUCUGUGUUGAUAACUGAUAAUUAAAUUUUUAUGCUACUAGAAUUGCAAUUGUACAUAAUCGAACAAUUAGUUCGACUUCUAUGUUUAUACCAUUCUAUUUCAGGUGAAUUUUUUCUUUAAAAAAAAACAAUAUUCUUCGUCUUUUCCUAUAUCAUUUUUUCAUGGUUUUAUCAUGUUGAAUUUAUGUAUUCUGUUGGGCUGCAUUUGUGGGCAGCGUUCUUUAUUGUUGUCAUGGGAUAUGGUGAAAGAGUAGUUUAACAUGACAUGCAUGUAUACAUGCCAAACUCAUAAGAAUGAGAUCAAUAUUAUGUCACAGAUUCAUGGCAGACUGUCUUACUCUUGCACCAAAAGCAAAGAAUUUGGUGAUGACUUCAAGGGGCAUGUCCUUGGUGUCUGGAACCUUCAUAUAGUUGCCUGCACAUCAAGGAAUCUGUUUUUGACAAAUUUGAAAACAAAUAAAAGCAAAUGGAAGAUGCUUAAAAAAGUGUACUAUUUUUCAUAAAAUCCUAAAACGCAAUUUGAACCUUCGAUUUCAUGAUACUAGCAUAUUAGCUAACUCUAGUGGCAAAUUUGAAGGGUUAAAAUUUGACAUCUCCAGGGUGUCUUUGUAACGAUAACAGACAUAUGCAAAUUCAGUUAGUUUGCCUCUGCUUUGUCUAUGUCCAAUUGGAAUAUAAUAAAAAGUGACAAGUGAAGUGUUUUAUUUUUUUUAAAUUGGUCAAACUUGAACCAAAAUUCUUCUCUCUUAUUUGAUCAAAUCAUAAUACUGUAUCAUGAACCACUAUUACUCAAAUUCAUUUGAGAAUUUAGCUAAAGUGUUACUUUGGUGUUUCUUGACGAAGAAGAAACGAUAGUCCGAACUUGUGAUGUGUGACGAGCCUGAAACAGUUCCACCUGCUGUAGAAAAGCAAUGUAGUGUUGCUGCGAAAGACAAUCAAUUGGGCCUGAGGAGGUUCAAUCUUCUGAGGAAUCAUCAGAUGGUUGGGUGAAGGUUGAGUUCUCGAAAGAAGAGGAACUCAAAAAGAUUUCAAUAUACAUAAUACACUCACUUUACAUGGCAAUAACCUCUUUAAUUAAGUCCAAAAGAUCAAAUAUUCUAUCACAAUACUUCUUGAAUAAUUUGAAUUCCACCGCAGCUUAAUAUAUGUACAGAACAUUUACUCUUGGUAUUA